AAUCAACGCUGGCGGCGUGCCUCAGACAUGCAAGUCGAACGCGAAAGUCCCCUUCGGGGGACAAGUAGAGUGGCGCACGGGUGAGUAACACGUAGGUAAUCUACCUUCGGAUGGGGAAUAACAACCGGAAACGGUUGCUAAUACCGCAUAAUGCAGCGGCACCUAAUGGUGACAGUUGUUAAAGCGGGGGAUCGAAAGACCCCGCGUCUGAAGAGGAGCCUGCGGCGGAUUAGCAGUUGGUAAGGUAAUGGCUUACCAAGGCGACGAUCCGUAGCCGGCCUGAGAGGGCGGUCGGCCACACUGACACUGACAUACGGGUCAGACUCCUACGGGAGGCAGCAGUCGGGAAUUUUGGGCAAUGGGCGAAAGCCUGACCCAGCAACGCCGCGUG
rnacentral:rRNA from 1 species